rnacentral:rRNA from 1 species
AUAGACGGGAGCCCGCACAAGCGGCGGAGCGCGUGGUUUAAUUCGAUGCUGACCGAAGAACCUCACCUGGGCUUGACAUCCCGCCGUCAAGCCUACCCGAAAGGGUAGGUGAGCCUACCGAUGAGGUAGGCAGGCGGGACAGGAGCUGCACGGCUGUCGUCAGCUCGUGUCGUGAGAUGUUGGGUUAAGUCCCGCAACGAGCGCAACCCCUGCCCAUAGUUGCCAGCGGGUCGCCCACGGAUGUGGGCGAUGCUGGGGACUCUAUGGGGACUGCCGGCGAGGAGCCGGAGGAAGGAGGGGACGACGUCAAGUCCGUGUGGCCCUUAUGUCCGGGGCUACACACGCGCUACAAUGGGCGGUACAGAGGGAAGCGACCCCGCGAGGGGGAGCAAAUCCCUAAAACCGCCCCCAGUUCGGAUUGCAGGCUGAAACCCGCCUGCAUGAAGGAGGAGUCGCUAGUAAUCACCUAUCAGCUAUGGGGUGGUGAAUACGUUCCCGGGCUCUGUACUCACCGCCCGUCACGCCAUGGGAGCCGGGGGUGCCUGAAGCCCCACCGAGGGUGGGGUGAAGGCAAACUCGGUGACUGGGGCGAAGUCGUAACAAGGUAGCCGUACGGGAACGUGCGGCUG